AAUGGGCGAAAGCCUGACGCAGCAACGCCGCGUGCGGGAAGAAGGCCUUCGGGUUGUAAACCGCUUUCAGUAGGGACGAACACAGACGGUACCUACAGAAGAAGCCCCGGCCAACUACGUGCCAGCAGCCGCGGUAACACGUAGGGGGCGAGCGUUGUCCGGAUUUAUUGGGCGUAAAGAGCUCGUAGGCGGCUCAGUAAGUCGGGUGUGAAACCUCCAGGCUCAACCUGGAGACGCCACCCGAUACUGCUGUGGCUAGAGUCCGGUAGAGGAGCGUGGAAUUCCUGGUGUAGCGGUGAAAUGCGCAGAUAUCAGGAGGAACACCAACGGCGAAGGCAGCGCUCUGGGCCGGUACUGACGCUGAGGAGCGAAAGCGUGGGGAGCAAA
rnacentral:rRNA from 1 species